rnacentral:rRNA from 1 species
GGCGGUAAUUUAACUAAUCAGAGGAAUUUGUCUCGUAAUUGAUAAUCCCCACUUUAACUUGCCUAUUUUAGAAAACAGCUUGUAUACCGUUGUCUAAAGGAAAUAUUUUAAAAUUAUUUUCAGGAAAUAAUUAUAUAUUAUGUCAAAUCAAGGUGCAGUUUAUGAAUAGGAGAGGGUGAAUUACAUUAUUUUUAAAUAAACGGAUGCUAAAGUGUAAACUUCGGUUAAAGGUGGAUU